rnacentral:rRNA from 1 species
AUUGAACGCUGGCGGCAUGCCUUACACAUGCAAGUCGAACGGCAGCACGGGUGCUUGCACCUGGUGGCGAGUGGCGAACGGGUGAGUAAUACAUCGGGACGUACCUUAUCGUGGGGGAUAACGCAGCGAAAGCUGUGCUAAUACCGCAUACGCCCUGAGGGGGAAAGCGGGGGACCGCAAGACCUCGCGCGAUUAGAGCGGCCGAUGCCUGAUUAGCUUGUUGGUGGGGUAAAAGCCCACCAAGGCGACGAUCAGUAGCUGGUCUGAGAGGACGAUCAGCCACACUGGGACUGAGAAACGGCCCAGACUCCUACGGGAGGCAGCAGUGGGGAAUUUUGGACAAUGGGGGCAACCCUGAUCCAGCAAUGCCGCGUGAGUGAAGAAGGCCUUCGGGUUGUAAAGCUCUUUUGUCAGGGAAGAAACACCGGCUCUAACACAGUCCGGGAAUGACGGUACCUGAAGAAUAAGCACCGGCUAACUACGUGCCAGCAGCCGCUGUAA